AUGAAGAUGGUUGACAAUAUAGUUCGCUUUAACCGAUUCUUUAUGGCUCUUAAACCUUGCAUUGAUGGCUUUAAAGCUGGUUGUAGACCAUAUCUUAGUAUAGACUCAACUGCACUCACCGGUAAAUGGAGAGGUCACUUAGCCGCUUGUACAUCAAUAGAUGGGCAUAAUUGGAUGUAUCCUGUAGCAUUUGCAUUCAUUGAUGGUGAAACCGACGAAAAUUGGACAUGGUUCAUGUCACAACUCAACAAGGCAUUAGGUCAUGUUUCCCCUCUAGCUAUAUGCACAGAUGCAUGUAAAGGUUUAGAGAAUGCAGUCAAAAAAAUAUUCCCUCAUGCAGAUCAAAGGGAGUGUUUUAGGCAUCUCAUGGCUAACUUCUCUAAAAAGUUCUAG
rnacentral:rRNA from 1 species